GGGUUGUGAGGUUAAGCGACUAAGCGUACACGGUGGAUGCCCUGGCAGUCAGAGGCGAUGAAGGACGUGCUAAUCUGCGAUAAGCGUCGGUAAGGUGAUAUGAACCGUUAUAACCGGCGAUUUCCGAAUGGGGAAACCCAGUGUGAUUCGUCACACUAUCAUUAACUGAAUCCAUAGGUUAAUGAGGCGAACCGGGGGAACUGAAACAUCUAAGUACCCCGAGGAAAAGAAAUCAACCGAGAUUCCCCCAGUAGCGGCGAGCGAACGGGGAGCAGCCCAGAGCCUGAAUCAGUGUGUGUGUUAGUGGAAGCGUCUGGAAAGGCGCGCGAUACAGGGUGACAGCCCCGUACACAAAAAUGCACAUAUUGUGAGCUCGAUGAGUAGGGCGGGACACGUGGUAUCCUGUCUGAAUAUGGGGGGACCAUCCUCCAAGGCUAAAUACUCCUGACUGACCGAUAGUGAACCAGUACCGUGAGGGAAAGGCGAAAAGAACCCCGGCGAGGGGAGUGAAAAAGAACCUGAAACCGUGUACGUACAAGCAGUGGGAGCACGCUUAGGCGUGUGACUGCGUACCUUUUGUAUAAUGGGUCAGCGACUUAUAUUCUGUAGCAAGGUUAACCGAAUAGGGGAGCCGAAGGGAAACCGAGUCUUAACUGGGCGUUAAGUUGCAGGGUAUAGACCCGAAACCCGGUGAUCUAGCCAUGGGCAGGUUGAAGGUUGGGUAACACUAACUGGAGGACCGAACCGACUAAUGUUGAAAAAUUAGCGGAUGACUUGUGGCUGGGGGUGAAAGGCCAAUCAAACCGGGAGAUAGCUGGUUCUCCCCGAAAGCUAUUUAGGUAGCGCCUCGUGAAUUCAUCUCCGGGGGUAGAGCACUGUUUCGGCAAGGGGGUCAUCCCGACUUACCAACCCGAUGCAAACUGCGAAUACCGGAGAAUGUUAUCACGGGAGACACACGGCGGGUGCUAACGUCCGUCGUGAAGAGGGAAACAACCCAGACCGCCAGCUAAGGUCCCAAAGUCAUGGUUAAGUGGGAAACGAUGUGGGAAGGCCCAGACAGCCAGGAUGUUGGCUUAGAAGCAGCCAUCAUUUAAAGAAAGCGUAAUAGCUCACUGGUCGAGUCGGCCUGCGCGGAAGAUGUAACGGGGCUAAACCAUGCACCGAAGCUGCGGCAGCGACGCUUAUGCGUUGUUGGGUAGGGGAGCGUUCUGUAAGCCUGCGAAGGUGUGCUGUGAGGCAUGCUGGAGGUAUCAGAAGUGCGAAUGCUGACAUAAGUAACGAUAAAGCGGGUGAAAAGCCCGCUCGCCGGAAGACCAAGGGUUCCUGUCCAACGUUAAUCGGGGCAGGGUGAGUCGACCCCUAAGGCGAGGCCGAAAGGCGUAGUCGAUGGGAAACAGGUUAAUAUUCCUGUACUUGGUGUUACUGCGAAGGGGGGACGGAGAAGGCUAUGUUGGCCGGGCGACGGUUGUCCCGGUUUAAGCGUGUAGGCUGGUUUUCCAGGCAAAUCCGGAAAAUCAAGGCUGAGGCGUGAUGACGAGGCACUACGGUGCUGAAGCAACAAAUGCCCUGCUUCCAGGAAAAGCCUCUAAGCAUCAGGUAACAUCAAAUCGUACCCCAAACCGACACAGGUGGUCAGGUAGAGAAUACCAAGGCGCUUGAGAGAACUCGGGUGAAGGAACUAGGCAAAAUGGUGCCGUAACUUCGGGAGAAGGCACGCUGAUAUGUAGGUGAGGUCCCUCGCGGAUGGAGCUGAAAUCAGUCGAAGAUACCAGCUGGCUGCAACUGUUUAUUAAAAACACAGCACUGUGCAAACACGAAAGUGGACGUAUACGGUGUGACGCCUGCCCGGUGCCGGAAGGUUAAUUGAUGGGGUUAGCCGCAAGGCGAAGCUCUUGAUCGAAGCCCCGGUAAACGGCGGCCGUAACUAUAACGGUCCUAAGGUAGCGAAAUUCCUUGUCGGGUAAGUUCCGACCUGCACGAAUGGCGUAAUGAUGGCCAGGCUGUCUCCACCCGAGACUCAGUGAAAUUGAACUCGCUGUGAAGAUGCAGUGUACCCGCGGCAAGACGGAAAGACCCCGUGAACCUUUACUAUAGCUUGACACUGAACAUUGAGCCUUGAUGUGUAGGAUAGGUGGGAGGCUUAGAAGUGUGGACGCCAGUCUGCAUGGAGCCGACCUUGAAAUACCACCCUUUAAUGUUUGAUGUUCUAACGUUGACCCGUAAUCCGGGUUGCGGACAGUGUCUGGUGGGUAGUUUGACUGGGGCGGUCUCCUCCUAAAGAGUAACGGAGGAGCACGAAGGUUGGCUAAUCCUGGUCGGACAUCAGGAGGUUAGUGCAAUGGCAUAAGCCAGCUUGACUGCGAGCGUGACGGCGCGAGCAGGUGCGAAAGCAGGUCAUAGUGAUCCGGUGGUUCUGAAUGGAAGGGCCAUCGCUCAACGGAUAAAAGGUACUCCGGGGAUAACAGGCUGAUACCGCCCAAGAGUUCAUAUCGACGGCGGUGUUUGGCACCUCGAUGUCGGCUCAUCACAUCCUGGGGCUGAAGUAGGUCCCAAGGGUAUGGCUGUUCGCCAUUUAAAGUGGUACGCGAGCUGGGUUUAGAACGUCGUGAGACAGUUCGGUCCCUAUCUGCCGUGGGCGCUGGAGAACUGAGGGGGGCUGCUCCUAGUACGAGAGGACCGGAGUGGACGCAUCACUGGUGUUCGGGUUGUCAUGCCAAUGGCACUGCCCGGUAGCUAAAUGCGGAAGAGAUAAGUGCUGAAAGCAUCUAAGCACGAAACUUGCCCCGAGAUGAGUUCUCCCUGACUCCUUGAGAGUCCUGAAGGAACGUUGAAGACGACGACGUUGAUAGGCCGGGUGUGUAAGCGCAGCGAUGCGUUGAGCUAACCGGUACUAAUGAACCGUGAGGCUUAACCUUACAACGCCGAAGGUGUUU
rnacentral:rRNA from 1 species